rnacentral:rRNA from 1 species
AACGAACGCUGGCGGCAGGCUUAACACAUGCAAGUCGAGCGCCCCGCAAGGGGAGCGGCAGACGGGUGAGUAACGCGUGGGAAUCUACCUUUUGCUACGGAAUAACUCAGGGAAACUUGUGCUAAUACCGUAUGUGCCCUUCGGGGGAAAGAUUUAUCGGCAAAGGAUGAGCCCGCGUUGGAUUAGCUAGUUGGUAGGGUAAAGGCCUACCAAGGCGACGAUCCAUAGCUGGUCCGAGAGGAUGAUCAGCCACACUGGGACCGAGACACGGCCCAGACUCCUACGGGAGGCAGCAGUGGGGAAUAUUGGACAAUGGGCGCAAGCCUGAGCCAGCCAUGCCGCGUGAGUGAUGAAGGCCCUAGGGUUGUAAAGCUCUUUCACCGGUGAAGAUAAUGACGGUAACCGGAGAAGAAGCCCCGGCUAACUUCGUGCCAGCAGCCGCAGUAA